GACGAACGCUGGCGGCGUGCUUAACACAUGCAAGUCGAACGGAAAGGCCCUGCUUUUGUGUGGUGCUCGAGUCGCGCACGGGUGAGUAACACGUGAGUAACCUGCCCUUGACUUUGUGAUAACUUCAGGAAACUGGGGCUAAUACCGGAUAGGAGCUCCUGCUGCAUGGUGGGGGUUGGAAAGUUUCGUCGGUUGGAGAUGGACGCGCGGCUUAUCAGCUUGUUGGUGGGGUAGUGGCUUACCAAGGCUUUGACGGGUAGCCGGCCUGAGAGGGUGACCGGCCACAAGGGGACUGAGAGACGGCCCAGACGCCUACGGGAGGCAGCAGUGGGGAAUAUUGCACAAUGGGCGGAAGCGUGAUGCAGCAACGCCGCGUGCGGGAUGACGGCCUUCGGGUUGUAAACCGCAUUCGCCUGUGACGAAGCGUGAGUGACGGUAAUGGGUAAAGAAGCACCGGCUAACUACGUG
rnacentral:rRNA from 1 species